rnacentral:tRNA from 1 species
UCCUUGGUCGCUAAGAUGGUAAAGAAUCUGCUUGCAAUGCAGAAGACCUGGGUUCGAUUCCUGGGUCAGGAA